rnacentral:rRNA from 1 species
CAGUCGCCGCGGUAAUACGAAGGGGGCUAGCGUUGUUCGGAUUUACUGGGCGUAAAGCGCACGUAGGCGGACUUUUAAGUCAGGGGUGAAAUCCCGGGGCUCAACCCCGGAACUGCCUUUGAUACUGGAAGUCUUGAGUAUGGUAGAGGUGAGUGGAAUUCCGAGUGUAGAGGUGAAAUUUGUAGAUAUUCGGAGGAACACCAGUGGCGAAGGCGGCUCACUGGACCAUUACUGACGCUGAGGUGCGAAAGCGUGGGGAGCAAACAGGAUUAGAUACCCCAGUAGUCCCUGUCUCUUAUAC